GUGCUAGAUCGUGUAUAGCUUUAAAAGCAAAUAGUAACACCUUGAAUUGCAUUCUGGCACGUACCGGAAGCCAGUGUAGUUCAUACAGUACCGGCGUAAUAUGGGAAUAUUUCGGAACGUCCAUUACUAAUCUUGCGGCGGCAUUCUGAACACACUGUAGUUUAGAUAUUUGCUUUCCAGGGAGACCGUAAAACAAGCUAUUACAGUAGUCAAGCC